UUUUCCCGGCCGUUUCUAGGCAGCCCUCCCCCUUCACUAACUCGGACCCCCCCCUUUCCUCCUUCUCCUCCCUUUUCCUCCCUCCUCCCCCGCCUAUUCCUCCCUCCUCCCCCCGCGUCUGGGCUGAGUGAUCAAAAUAGAGGAAGAUGGUUGUCGCCGCAAUCCAGGGCUUUGCAAGGCGCGGUUUAAUGGGCCGCCUGUCAGCUUCCUGCUCGCAGGAAGAGGUGACAAGCCGAGCGAGCCGGGAAGAGCUUGGGGCCCCGCGGGCUGCACCCCGCGCCUGGACCCCAGCCUCCCACCUCCCCUGGGGUGCGCCUUCUAGAUCGCGCGGUGGAGACGCCAAAACGGACAAGGGCUGCUUUUUCUCUCCCUCCCCCCUCCUUUAAAACAAAGCAGCGAUUCAUUCCCUCUCCCCCAGCGGCGCGGUUGGGUGGAAUGGGCAAGCGAGAAGGCCGUUUUCCUAGCCCCCGCCUGUCGGUCCCUCUCUGAAACGCGGUGUCAGAUGGUUACUGAUUAAUAUUUUGCAGAGGCCGCGGCGGCGGGCAGCGGCAAAAUCCUUUCUGGGUUGAAUCGCCGGGAGCUGCCCGCGGCAACCUACUUGGCUGCGGAAGUGCUCUGAGGGGCCGCCCUGGAGGCCGCGCACCCUCUCUCCGCAGCCCUGCAAGGACCGGUGCCCAGCGCGGCAUUACGUACUCUCAAAAGGAAGCUUGGUGGGGCAGAAGUCCUUGCCGAUUCUACCUCGGAGAGCAACCGCAGUGAUUAGAUUUUAAUUAAAAUACGAGAAGCCCGCUCUUUCA